CCCUCCUCCCCACCUCCGGCUCUCGUUCCCUCCCUGAGCUGCCCUCCGCCCGGCCGGGGUCUCCCACGGUGCCCUCCGUGACAAAUCUUAUCGAGUCCGACGUUGUAGGCGCUCCGCGAGCGUAGGGGUUUCCCUCGCCUUGAACAGUGCUGGUUAAAUGUUGGCUAAACGGAUUUCUCCGUGUCUCUGCCCUUGACUUCAAGUUGCUGCUUUGAAGUGGAGAGAUUAGAUCUGAAUCUGAUUGCACUCUAGUUACCGCUUUGCCUCUGAUCCUGUGACCGUGGACGCAGUAUUUCUACGAGAAUAUGGUCCUACUAUGUGCAGAGCGCCUGCGCGGUGCUGGGCGUUAAGGAGGUUGCGUCCUAAGCUUCCUUGGGCCUUAAUGAUGUACAGAAGGAGUUCCAGAAAGUGGCCUUUGACUUUGCCGCCCGGGAGAUGGCCCCACAAAUGGCAGAAUGGGACCAGAAGCAUGUGUGUCUGGAUGAUUGACUCCUUUGGAAAUGAAGAACAGAGACACAGAUUCUGUCCGCCGCUCUGCUCUAUGGAGAAGUUUGCUUCCUACUGUCUGACGGAGCCAGGAAGUGGGAGUGAUGCUGCGUCCCUUAUGACCUCAGCCAAACGCCAAGGGGAUUACUACAUCCUCAAUGGCUCCAAGGCUUUCAUCAGUGGGGGUGGUGAGUCAGAUAUCUAUGUGGUCAUGUGCCGGACUGGAGGACCAGGCCCUAAAGGGAUCUCCUGUCUGGUCAUUGAGAAGGGGACCCCAGGUCUCAGCUUUGGGAAGAAAGAGAAGAAGGUAGGGUGGAACUCCCAGCCAACAAGAGCUGUGAUUCUCGAAGACUGUGCUGUACCUGUGGCCAACAGGAUUGGAAACGAGGGGCAAGGUUUUCUUAUUGCCAUGAAAGGACUGAAUGGAGGGAGGAUCAACGUUGCUUCCUGCUCCCUUGGAGCCGCUCAUGCUUCAAUCAUGUUGGCCCGGGACCACCUCAGUGUACGGAAGCAGUUUGGAGAACCGCUGGCCAACAAUCAGUACUUGCAGUUCAAACUAGCUGACAUGGCCACUCGGCUGGUGGCUUCCCGGCUAAUGAUCCGCAGCGCGGCAGUGGCCUUGCAGGAAGAGCGGGAAGAUGCCGUGGCCUUCUGCUCCAUGGCUAAGCUUUUCACCACCGAUGAGUGCUUCGCAAUAUGCAACCAGGCCCUACAAAUGCACGGGGGCUAUGGCUACCUGAAGGAUUAUGCGGUGCAGCAGUACAUGCGGGACUCAAGGGUCCACCAGAUCCUGGAAGGUAACAGUCAGUGUGGCUGGGGUUCAACCGCUCCCUCCAGGCCCAGAGCUCAAGGCAGCUGCUCCAACGAGGAAACUGAGAAGACUGGGUAGAAUGGCUCGCCCAGGAUCAUCCGGAUAGUGCCUGGUGGAGGUUGCGAUUCACCAGGAUGAGUCCCUGAUUCCAAGCCCCGUGCUCCUGGCUGGCCUCCUGGCUAGUCCUCCCCACUCCAAGGAGGUAGCAACGAAGUAAUGAGAAUGCUCAUAUCUCGGAACUUGCUUCAGGCAUAGCACCAGGUGGUUUUUUAGGGCCGGUUCCUGCUUGUUCUGUCUCCUCUCCAGUAAUGAUGUUGAAUUAGAGGGGAACCCUGACACCAAGAAGCUGGACCCCGUAGGGCAGGACGCUCACUCCUCCGCUGGACCAGGGCCUCUUUUCCAACAGCAAAGCAUCCUGAGGAUUCAGGCAGGGGAAGGGCCGGUAGCCUGGAGUGGGGGAUUCCCCAGAAGGAAUUGCUUUGUGAUGCUGUUGAAGACUCUUGGUGGCCGGGAUUAGCACUUACACCACAGCCAAUGUACUUUACUAGUACCAAAUUGCCUUAAACUACCUACAUUUGACCCAUGUCCCAUGCAUUUAACAGUUGCCCUUUCUAUAGCACUUUGAGGCACUUUGAGUGCUUCAGAAAUCAUACCUAGGUGGGUAGGGCAAGUAUUUUCCCUGUUUACAGAGAAGACUACCGAAGCUUAGAGUAAAGUGACUUGUCCAAGGUGACCCAAGCUGGAUGGAACUGGGAUCUGUAAAGACUGACUCCGAGACUGGUGCUCUUCUCACCAUACGGCUGGAGAUUACCAGGCUAGGAACCUGGAUGCCUCCAUUAUGUGCGUUAGCUAAAUAGAGCAGAGACUGGAGGAAGAUGGAACCAAGGGGGAAUCCUGCUGUUUUUUAAAAAUGGAUCCGAUAGGCAUGCCCUGUACUGUGCUCUGAAAUAGCCCUUGAGUGCACCAUGCUAGCUCAUUUUAGAGCAAGACAGGCAGGUGGCCAAGUAAACAGCUAGCUGUGUGUGACCCUAGACAAGUUGCUUAACUUCGGAUUGCCUUAAUCUCCUGGAGAAUAAAAUGGAAAACCAUUUCAAUAUUUUUGCCAAGAAAGCCCCACAGAGGGACACAAAAGGUUGGAUGUGACUGAACAACAGAUCAAAGUAUUCAAGAUAGAAGAAAUCUUGCUCCUGAGCUAUAUAUCCAUUUUCUAUGCCCUCCCCACAGAUCAGGGGUGAUUUGCUGGAAAUUGAUUUGUUUCUCCUAGAAUCAUCAAUGAAAACAUGCAGAUAAGAGUAGAUUUGGGGUUUUUAGAACCCCUUCUCAUUCAUUCAAGAUUGGGUAUUUUUCUCAUAUUGGGAAGGAGUUUUGACAUUCUAAAUAAAACAUUCUUGCAAAUCAAA